rnacentral:rRNA from 1 species
CCUACGGGUGGCAGCAGUGAGGAAUCUUGGUCAAUGGGCGCUAGCCUGAACCAGCCAAGUAGCGUGAAGGAUGAAUGCCCUAUGGGUUGUAAACUUCUUUUAUAUGGGAAUAAAGUGCAGUAUGUAUACUGCUUUGCAUGUACCUUAUGAAUAAGGAUCGGCUAACUCCGUGCCAGCAGCCGCGGUAAUACGGAGGAUCCGAGCGUUAUCCGGAUUUAUUGGGUUGAAAGGGAGCGUAGGCGGGUUGUUAAGUCAGGUGUGAAAGUUGGCGGCUCAACCGGAAAAUUGCAGUUGAUACUGGGAGCCUUGAGUACAGGAGAGGUAGGCGGAAUUCGAGGUGUAGCGGUGAAAUGCUUAGAUAUCACGAAGAACUCCGAUGGCGAAGGCAGCCUGCUGGACUGUAACUGACGCUGAUGCUCGAAAGUGUGGGUAUCAAACAGGAUUAGAUACCCUUGUAGUC